rnacentral:tRNA from 1 species
GAGAGAUGGCUGAGCGGUUGAAGGCGCACGCCUGGAAAGCGUGAGUACUCGAAAGAGUAUCGGGGGUUCGAAUCCCCCUCUCUCC